GUAGGUGGCAAGCGUUAUCCGGAAUUAUUGGGCGUAAAGCGCGCGCAGGCGGUUUCUUAAGUCUGAUGUGAAAGCCCACGGCUCAACCGUGGAGGGUCAUUGGAAACUGGGGAACUUGAGUGCAGAAGAGAAAAGCGGAAUUCCACGUGUAGCGGUGAAAUGCGUAGAGAUGUGGAGGAACACCAGUGGCGAAGGCGGCUUUUUAGGUCUGUAACUGACGCUGAGGCGCGAAAGCGUGGGGAGCAAACAGGGAUUAGAUACCCUGGUAGUCCACGCCGUAAACGAUGAGUGCUAAGUGUUAGAGGGUUUCCGCCCCUUUAGUGCUGCAGCUAACGCAUUAAGCACUCCGCCCUGGGAGUACGGUCGCAAGACUG
rnacentral:rRNA from 1 species